UUUUCCAGCUGUGUGGCUUUGGGCAAGUUAUUUAACCUCUCUGUGCCUCAACUUCUUCAUGUAAACUGGCAGUAAUAAUAAUACGAAUGCCACAGAGCUGUGGAUGAAAUGAGCCCAUGGGAAUGGUGCUGUUUCCCCACCACAAGCUGGCCAAUGCCGGUCUGGCUUCUUUAACCAGGAAGAUGUGGGCUGAGAGCUGUGGAGUAGAUGUCUUCACCAGAUGAGUACACAGAGAAGUAGAGAAUGUGUAUCUGCAGAGUAGGAUGAAGCAGAGACAAGGAAUGGAUGUAAGUGCUAUGAGGGCAGGAAGAUUGUUUUUCCUACCACUGAAUUCCCAGGACCUCAAUCAAUGCUUGGUAUAUAGUGGGCACUCCAUAAAUGAAUUUAAGUGAAUAAUGAUGCCAAAGCAUCUCAUGGCUUGUGAAUAAGGUAUUCAGGAAGCACAGCUGUCUUUUGUUCCUGAAGCCGUAUCAGGAUUCAGCAGGAAAGAGCACCAAGAUCACUUGGCAAUGUUUAUCCUGAUCAAGCACGGGCACUGAUGGCAGGUAAAUUGACAGCCUAUCUUCACAGAUGCAGGACAAAGGACAGAACUCUAAGUCAUCCCUGUGCUCACCUGAGACAAAUGCAUGUCUGAUUGCUUCCACUGAUGUAAAAAUGCAGAUUUGCUGAGUUAGACGAAGACGAUGGCAGAGAGCAGUCUUCAUCCUGAGCCCCAUUCCUAGG
rnacentral:lncRNA from 1 species